ensembl:lncRNA
CCCAAGGGCACAGCUCCGUGGCAGAGAGCAGAUCUCAGCCAUGCUGCAUGAGGGGUUGGGGACAGCAGGACCCAAGUGAGCUGCCUUCAGCCCUGCCCAGCAGCAAGCAUCCUUCCCUCAGUGGAGAUAUGGCUAAUGGCAGCUUAGCUGUAAUGCUGCAUUUCUGCAUCACUGAAGCUCCAAGCCUCCCCCUGCACCCCAGAUUCCUCCGUCUGGUUCUCAGCUUAUCCUCAGCACACUGGUUUUGAAGAAAAUGCUGGCAAUCAAUGGAAAAAUUGUUUGCAGGACAAAAUUUAACUCCCACAUGGUAUGAAAUGGUAUUAUACAGUGCCACUACAUAUUAACAGAUUCAAAGCCCCAGUUCCCACUUCGUGAUGAAUCCAAGUUCAGCUUCGCUUCUGUUAGCACCACAGAGAAAUCUCAGACAAGAUAGAUGCCUGCAGCCAGAAGAAGCCUUAAAUUGAACACCUAAAAAUAGAAACCUUCUGAAUUUAUAAAUAUUUUUGCAAAUCAACCUUUUAUAACUACCUUCCUUUUGUAGCUGUGGUAGUUAGCAUUGAAAUCCAAGUAUAUUUCAGCAAAAGAGAAAGCUGAUCAAGCAACCCAGGAUAUUUUGCAGAGUUUUGCUAAUUCCAGAAGGCCCAGGGAAGGAAAUCACUGCAUGCCAAUUUCUUUCUACUGAUUUCUAUUGUCUCUACUUAUCAUAUGUUGUUUUAACAAUUCGUUGUGGAGCACUGUAUCUUCCAUACAAUUCUUACCUAGAUAAUGGCCUGAUUAUAUUCUAUAACUUUGUGUUCUCAUUCAACCUAAUUUACUCUCGAGUUAGAAAACAUUACUGUCCCCAGAGAAACAUUCAGCCCUUUGUUCUCUUUGUUCACAAAUUAAUUUAAAGAAGGAUCAACUAGAAGUGUAGAAAGUUUCUAUUAAAUCUGCUAAGAUCUCUUCCUAUUCAGAUUUGAUUUCUGUUGCUGGGGGCUACUCUUGAUAUUUAUGUGGGAUGAAAUAUUGUUCAUCCCCUUAACAAAGAGAAAGUUGCUUCCAUUCACUACUUCCAUGAACCUCAGACAGUGUUUACACAGUAUGUAUUCAAAACAUGACAGCUCUUUCUUACCAUCCUGUACUCUCUGGCCGUGAGCUGGGUUCCUGUUUCGUUGGAAUCAUUCUGUUUACCUGGAGUCUCUUUUAUAUCUUUCUCUGUGCAACUGUUUUCCAAAUUGCCUAAUUAAAUAUGAUUACAAAGAGGAAGAAGUGGAGAAAGAGGAAGAGCUGCCGAAUUCCCUUGCAAUAAUUUUCUUCAGCUCGUCUUUGAAAAACACAUUCCUCUCUCCCUUUCUCAUACCUCAGGUUUGGAUACCCCAUGUGACUCUUUCCAAAGUGUAGGGCUCCCUUCUCUCUUUUCCUGAUGCCAGCAUGUGGAAGCCCACAACCAAGUCUCUCUGGAUGAUUUCCAUUUAUAUCUGAUGGCAGAGAAAAUCUGGGGAGUUCUCUCCUGCUUAUCAGCUGAUCUAUUUCCUCUGAUUUCACAUCACUACAAGAGUAUUCUGAUACAGAUAGCUGGGGACUUCUUUAAGCAGAAAGUUGCUCCCUGAUCUACUUCCGUGGGAGGUCUUUGCUGCCUAAUCUGUCUUCUAAGGUUGGUCUGCACUUCCAAGGCUCUGCUAUGGAGCUCAAACCAGCAGUCUUCUUUAUGAGGAUAAUUUUUUUUCUAUCACUAUCAUGGUCUGAUAGAGAUAGAACAAGGGGGAACUGUUUUAAACUGAAGGAGUGGAGAUUUAAGUUAGAUGUUAGCAAAAAAUUUUUUACUCAGGGUGGUGAGCCUCUGGCACAGGCUUCCUAGAGAGUUGUGGAUGCCCUAUCUCUGGAGGCAUUCAAGGCCAAGCUGGAUGGGAUCCUGAGCAGCCAGAUCUAGUGGAGGGAAACCCAG